UACGGAGGGGGCUAGCGUUGUUCGGAAUUACUGGGCGUAAAGCGUACGUAGGCGGCUUUGUAAGUUAGAGGUGAAAGCCCGGAGCUCAACUCCGGAAUUGCCUUUAAGACUGCAUCGCUCGAAUCAUGGAGAGGUUAGUGGAAUUCCGAGUGUAGAGGUGAAAUUCGUAGAUAUUCGGAAGAACACCAGUGGCGAAGGCGACUAACUGGACAUGUAUUGACGCUGAGGUACGAAAGCGUGGGGAGCAAACAGG
rnacentral:rRNA from 1 species